rnacentral:rRNA from 1 species
UACGUAGGGUGCAAGCGUUAAUCGGAAUUACUGGGCGUAAAGCGUGCGUAGACGGCUAUCUAAGUCGGGUGUGAAAGCCCCGGGCUCAACCUGGGAAUUGCAUUCGAGACUGAAUAGCUAGGGUACGGUAGAGGGAAGCGGAAUUUCCGGUGUAGCGGUGAAAUGCGUAGAUAUCGGGAGGAACACCAGUGGCGAAGGCGGCUUCCUGGCCUGUUCUUGACGCUGAGGCGCGAAAGCUAGGGGAGCAAACGGG